GUAAUAAUAAAGCUUAUAUGUAGAAGAAAACUCACCUCAAGCACCACGCAAUCAAUUUUCCCUUGUUAUCAACCCUUUUCGCGAUAUGGCCAUAUUUCAUUUACAGUUUCAGCAUCUUUAGUUUCCAAUUCUCGCAGUGUAAUACCAGAAGGAGGUCUGAGAAUACAAAUUUGCUGGAGUUUUUCGGAUAAGUAAAAUAAUUAAUGUUCUUACUCUAUAGAGAAUUUAGCAACCACUUCUUUACUAGCUCUGUACCAAGAUGUCUUCAAUAAUAGUCGCUGAGAAUUA